rnacentral:tRNA from 1 species
AAAUAAGAAGCAAUUUUGCACUUAAUUUCGACUUAAAAGAAUGGAUUAUUUAUCCCUUAUUUA